rnacentral:rRNA from 1 species
CCCUUAGAUGUUCUGGGCCGCACGCGCGCUACACUGACGAUGGCAACGAGUUUUUCCUUCGCCGAAAGGUGUGGGUAAUCUUUUGAAACAUCGUCGUGCUGGGGAUAGAUCAUUGCAAUUUUUGAUCUUGAACGAGGAAUUCCUAGUAAGCGCGAGUCAUCAGCUCGCGUUGAUACGUCCCUGCCCUUUGUACACACCGCCCGUCGCUACUACCGAUUGAAUGGUUUAGUGAGGACUCCUGAUUGGCGCCGCCGCCCCGGCAACGGAGCAGCGGACUGCCGAAAAGUUGUUCAAACUUGAUCAUUUAGAGGAAGUAAAAGUCGUAACA